rnacentral:lncRNA from 10 species
AGAUUCGACACAAAACCCGGAAGGACCCCGCCGAAGGUUUUCUCCGGUUCGGGAGAGAGACGGAGUCCCGCUCUGUCACGCAGGCUGCCAGGCUGGCGUACAGUGGCGCAAUCUCAGCUCGCUGCAACCUCCACCUCCUGGGUUCAAGCGAUUUUCUUGCCUCUGCCUCCUGAGUAGCUGGGAUUACUGGCACACACCACCAUGCACAGUUGCAGGAAUUUAGCCAAUUCAGAGGUCUUGUUCUCCAUAAUUUGGAAUUUUCCUUCGGAUUUGAUCAAGUUGGAUAGAGUUGGUCAAACCCAAUGGGAAAAAGAUGAAAACAACAAGAAACAGAAACAAACAGCAACAACAACAACAACAAAAACAGUUAAGUGAAACAAACAAACAAUCACACAAUUUAUGUGGUCACUGAGUGCUCUAAUAGUAAGGAGAAAUUAAGACCAGCUGGCUGUUAGUCUUAACUCUAGCCAAGACAAAACUCCAAUUCAGCUACUUACCUAGUAAUGAGUCUCAGGCUGAAGUCUGCUCUCUCCCAUCCUAGAAGCAGGAAAAAACUGAAACUCAUCUUCCCUGCUGGAAACGAGCUCAAACUCCAGAAAGGAGUUACCUGCCUUCCAUCAUCAUGGACGCAGGAAAAUUUGCCUUCCUUGUUGGAAGCAAGUAAAACUCCAAAAAAGGAGUUGCACAGCAAAAUAAACUUCAGAUCUCAACAAAUUUGGGGAGAUCAGGGAUUCUCUGGGGGUGGGGUGGCUCCCAGGCCUCAGCCAAUUGUCCUAUUGGUUUCAGCCAUAAAGACAGCUCAGGCUGCUACCACGCACUGAUAGGAGAUUUGUCAAAGAUCGAGGCAUCUUCACUCAGAAUCCCUCUGUGAUUACCAAUUGUGAACACAAAAUAUCUGAUAUGGGUCUCAGUCAAUUUAGAAAGUUUAUUUUGCCAAGGUUAAGGACACAUCCAUGACAUAGCCUCAGGAGGUUCUGUUGACGUGUGCAAGGUGGUUGGGGCACAGCUUGGUUUUACACAUUUUAGGGAGACAUGAGAUAUCAAUCAAUAUAUGUUAAGACAUAUAUCAGGUGGUCCAAAAAGGUGGGAUGACUGGAAACAGGGAGGGGGCUUCCAGGUGAUAGGUAGAUAAGAGAAAAACAGUUGCAUUCUUUUGAGUUUCUAAUAAGCCUUUCACUGAAUACACAAUUUACAGGACUAAUCACUUAAGCCUUAGCCUGGCUCAGUGAAACAACAGGGCAAAGGAAGCAAUCAGCUAUGCAUUUGUCUCACGUGAGCAGAGGGAUGACUUUGAGUUCUGUCUAGCUAUCUUGUUUAGGAAUAUAAUGAGAGGCAGGUUUGCGUGCAGUUUCCAGAUUGACUUUUCCCUUUGGCUUAGUGACUUUGAGGUCCCAAGAUUUAUUUUCCUUUAACAUUUACAAGGAGAAGUGAAGAAAUAAGUAAAUUAGAGAGCUAGAAGGAUGGAAGUUUACAGUUAGAGAGAGUGGGAUGUUGAAGGUAAUACUGGUUGCAUAUUUCUUAUCCAAAAUGCUUGGGACCAGAAGUGUUUCAGAUUUCAGAUGUUUUCAGAUUUUGGAAUAUUUGCAUUAUACAGGUUCAGCACCCCUAAUCUGAAAACGUGAAAUCCAAAAUUCUCCAAUGAUUGUUUCCUUUGAGCAUCACAAUGGUGCUCAAAAGGUUUUGGAUUUUAGAGCAUUUCAAAUUUCAGAUUUUCAGAUUAGGGAUAAUAAACCUAUAUCUCAGAAACGGUACAUUUCUGAAUAAUGACAAAUUGUCAUUAUUUGCCAUGAGAAUUGUCAUUAAUGUGGGUGGAGAUGGGGAUGAUUGUAGGUCAAGAGACUGAAGCAAUAGGGUAGGCUUGGGUGUUAGUACGGCCCUUCAUGGGAAUGUGUUGAUGUCAUCCAGGGUCACGGGAGGCUUCUGAGUGGGAAGGAAGCUGAGAGCCUAUGAUUACGGUCUUCACUGAUGAAGGCAGACAGUAGGAGGUUGGCAGAUGGUGGGCACUGACUAGACUGGAAGUGCCAAGAACUUCAGUGGAGCAAGGUUUUACCCAAGACACAGAGGUUGUGGUCUAGAGCAGCCCAGGGAUGAAGGAUCACCCAUUGGAGAGGACUGUGGGGAAAGCAGAGUCCUGGGAGAUGAACCAAGCAUCAGUUGAGGCUGGAACAGUUAAAAUGUAUACAUCAAAUUCUCUCCAAGGACACUGUACCCUUGGCUGAAAAUUCCCUCCUUAGUCUACUUCCCAUCCCAAAUUCUACCCAUCCACACUGUGGCAUCCUAGGUCUCUCUAGCAGCUGAACAGGCAGGCCUCUGUAACAACUGUUUCAGCGCUGACUGAGUGGUUAAGUUAAAUAUUAAAAGUUGAAAGAGCCAGUAACCUUAUACAAAGGCUGGAAUAGAACAAAAGCCCACCACAAGUUUUUGCCUAAGUCUUUCCUGUGCCUUGAACCAUGACAAGAGGAGGAAGGAAUUCUUAACCAGACCCAUUUAGGAUUAAGUAAGUUUUUAUUGGCUGGGUACGGUGGCUCACACCUAUAAUCUCAGCACUUUGGGAGGCUGAGGCAGGCAGAUCACCUGAGGUCAGGAGUUUGAGACCAGCCUCCUGGCCAACAUGGUGAAACUCUGUCUCUACUAAAAGUACCAAAAUGAGCCAAGCAUGGUGGCGGGAGCCUGUAGUCCCAACUACUCAGGAGGCUGGGGCAGGAGAAUCGCUUGAACCCAGAAAGCGGAGGUUGCAGUGACCUGGGAUCACACCACUGCACUUCAGCCUGGGCAACAGAGUGAGACUCCAUCUC